UGGACGAACACAACAGACACAACACAUUGUGAUUCAACACAGCUAUACGACUACACUGAAUCCUCUACAUUAUUGAUGCACAGUUUGAUUGGUAGUACAGUAUCAAUAAAUGAUUAGGAAAUUGAAAAUUGUUGAGCGAAGACCUUGAAGCAGAGCCAUGAAUCUGACUAACAUAAGAAGACAGGGAGCCUCAACAGAAUCAACUUUGGCCUUCGUCUGGGUUGAAGGAACCUUGAAUCUUUUCAAAGAACCUCCAGCUAUUUGGCCCCCAUGAGAAUAUUGAGUCAUUGAAGCUGAACCAGUGCAUCCUGAAUGGAGGCAGCAGACGAUGUACCAGGCCAGCUGGGAUUUACAACCUGAUAGCUAUAUGUUUUGUACUACCAAGAAAUGUAUCGGUGAGUUAUAUGAAUCAUGCAUUGAACUGCAUCCAUCUAUUCUGACAACAAUGCCUUACUCUACGUUAUGGGAUUUGGAAUAAAAUAUAACCUAUUUUUAAAACAUCUUAUAAAGUAGUUUUGUAGCAUAAACUGGGAAUUUGUGACUGAUAUUAUGAUUGUCUGUUUGUUUCAUAUCUGCAAAGUAGUUAAAACACGGUCAGUUGCCCUUUAAACUUAGAUCACUGGUUACUUUAUGUGCUAAACGUGAAAUGUGUUUUGCAAUGGGACGUAAUAGAUGUAUUUCGAUUGGGAAAUGCUUAAUGGUUGUGUUUUUGUAUUCUUAUGAUUGGGACCUACUGGCUUAUUAUGUCAGAGUUUAUGGACUGCUUAUCCUUUAACAUCAUGCUGUGUGUGACUGCUGUCUCUCCAUCGGCCCUAUGCAGUGGUGUAGUGGUCCUUUAACAUUGUGCUGUGUGUGACUGCUGUCUUUCCAUCAGACCUUUAACAUCAUGCUGUGUGUGACUGCUGUCGCUCCAUCGGCCCUAUGCAGUGGUGUAGUGGUGCCUGGAGAAGUGGAUAUACUUUAGUUUUGCCAGAAAGUUCCCAGACGGCCCGUCCAGUGAAGGAAAGGCACCCUGUGUGUGAAAAAUCCUAUUUUUUUGAAUGAGUUUUCCUAUAGAUUUUUCAAUUGCAUACCAUUGUUGCCUUAGUUAGCAUUUACUGUUAGAGCUCAUCAGGUGAAAGGUCUUUCCUUGUCACACCCUGAUCUGUUUCACCUGUCUUUGUGAUUGUCUUCACCCCCCCCCCCAGGUGUCGCCCAUCUUCCCCAUUUUUUUAUUUAAUUUAAUUUCACCUUUAUUUAACUAGGCAAGUCAGUUAAGAACAAAUUCUUAUUUACAACGAAGGCCUACCAAAAGGCCUCCUGCAGGGACGGGGACCUGGGAUAAAAAAGGGUUUUAAACAAUAUAAAUAUAGCACAAAACACACAUCACAACAGACAACACAACACUACAUAAAGAGAGACCUAAGACAACAACACAGCAAGGCAGCAACACAUGGAAACACAACAUGGUAGCAACACAACAUGGCAGCAGCACAAAACAUGAUACAAACUUUAUUGGGCACAGACAACAGCACAAAGGGCAAGAAGGUAGAGACAACAAUACAUCACACAAACCAUUAUCCCCUGUGUAUUUAUACCUGUGUUCUCUGUUUGUCUGUUGGCAGUUCGUCUUGAUUGUCAAGUCAACCAGCGUUUUUGUGUCUCAGCUCCUGCUUUUCCCCAGUCUCUUUUUCUCGCUCUCCUGGCUUUGACCCUUGCCUGUCCUGACUCUGAGCCCACCUGCCUGACCACUCUGCCUGCACCUGAGCCUGCCUGCCGACCUGUACCUUUGCCCCACCUCUGGAUUAUUGCCCUCUGCCUACCCUGAGCCUGCCUGCCGUCCGCUACCGUUGCCCCACGUCUGGUUUACUGACUCCUACCUGCCUGCCCCUGUUGGAUUAUUAAACCAUUGUUAAUUUGA